rnacentral:lncRNA from 1 species
AGAGAAACAAUUUUAUUCUAUUUCAUAUCUCCAACCAAACAUCGAAAUGUCAUCAUUUCACUCCAUAUAUUGUUUUCAACCAAACACGCUAACGGAACCGAUCCAUUCUAGUGGAAUAGAACCAUAACAUUCUAUUCUACCUCGUUCCUCAACAAAACACACCCUAGGUGAUCUCCAUGAAAAAAAUACUCUAGGUGAUCUGAUGCUCAUAUCGGAGCCCGACCCUCCUCACGUGACAUAUCACCCCUCCCCAUCUUUCUCCUCUCGUGGCAUAUGUCGGGACGUGGUGCAAAGGCCGACACCUCCGUCGAGUCUAAGAGGGUGUUUGUUUCCAAGGACUUAUUGGUUUAGGGACUUAAGAAAGUCCCUAUAAGUCCCAUCUAAACCAAACAGGAGGGACUUAUAGGGACUUAUAGUGGUCAUUUGGGACUUAUCAAAAAAGACUCUCAGGGAGGAACUUAUUGGGACUUAUCGAUCGGCCUGCACCUACCCCGCCUCGCU